rnacentral:rRNA from 1 species
GAUGAACGCUGGCGGCGUGCCUAAUACAUGCCAGUCGAGCGAACGGACGAGAAGCUUGCUUCUCUGAUGUUAGCGGCGGACGGGUGAGUAACACGUGGAUAACCUACCUAUAAGACUGGGAUAACUUCGGGAAACCGGAGCUAAUACCGGAUAAUAUUUUGAACCGCAUGGUUCAAAAGUGAAAGACGGUCUUGCUGUCGCUUAUAGAUGGAUCCGCGCUGCAUUAGCUAGUUGGUAAGGUAACGGCUUACCAAGGCAACGAUGCAUAGCCGACCUGAGAGGGUGAUCGGCCACACUGGAACUGAGACACGGUCCAGACUCCUACGGGAGGCAGCAGUAGGGAAUCUUCCGCAAUGGGCGAAAGCCUGACGGAGCAACGCCGCGUGAGUGAUGAAGGUCUUCGGAUCGUAAAACUCUGUUAUUAGGGAAGAACAGAUGUGUAAGUAACUGUGCACAUCUUGACGGUACCUAAUCAGAAAGCCACGGCUAACUACGUG